rnacentral:lncRNA from 1 species
GUGUAAGAUACGCCUUUCUCCUUCUACCAUGAGUGUGAGGCCUCCACAGCCACAUGGAACUGUGAGAAACUGGUGCUCUCAGAGAGCGUAUGAGUGGCCCAAUGUCACACUACCUCUGGGUGUGUGCAUGUGGAGCCAGGAUUUGAUCCUGGGCAGAUCAAACCCCAAGUGCCACCAGGUGCAGUCGAUCACAUGCUGACCCCCCACUUUACUGAUGAGAAAACUGAGACCUAGAGAGGUUGAGUAACCUGUCCAAGACACCUGGAUGAUAAGCCGGACCCAGCCAACAAGCCCAGCCAGCUUGAUGCCAGAAUCCUCUUACCUGACCUCUGUGCCUGCCAUCCCAGCUGCUAGAGUGGAGAGCCGGCCUUUCCUCGCUGCAGGAUGGACCCUAGGCCUCUCUCUGGGUUUCCAGAUCCUGCUCUGAAGAGCCGGCCUUUCCUCGCUGCAGGAUGGACCCUAGGCGUCUCUCUGGGUUUCCAGAUCCUGCUCUGGAGAGCCGGCCUUUCCUCGCUGCAGGAUGGACCCUAGGCGUCUCUCUGGGUUUCCAGAUCCUGCUCUGGAGAGCCGGCCUUUCCUCGCUGCAGGAUGGACCCUAGGCGUCUCUCUGGGUUUCCAGAUCCUGCUCUGGAGAGCCGGCCUUUCCUCGCUGCAGGAUGGACCCUAGGCCUCUCUCUGGGUUUCCAGAUCCUGCUCUGGAGAGCCGGCCUUUCCUCGCUGCAGGAUGGACCCUAGGCGUCUCUCUGGGUUUCCAGAUCCUGCUCUGAAGAUGAGGAGAUGACAUUUAGCACCAGCCUUCUCUAACUGGCUCUAAGAGGAAUCGGUGUUCCCUGGUGGUUCAGGAGUCAAAAGGGCCAACUGUAGCUUUAUUCCUCUUUCAAAGGAAAUAAAGCAGAGGUCCUAUUUGGGGAUAGGCCCUAUGCCUGAGUUACUUUGGCACUUAAUUGCUAUUAUUUAAUUGCUGUAUUGGGGAGCACAAAGUGAUCUACUGCAAAGUUAUUAGCAAAUUCUAGUUUUAAGGAAAUAAUUACUGAAUUCUCCCUCCCUGGGUUGAGUAAUUCCUUCCAAGAUGCUCAGCGACAUUAAGCAUUUUCACUAGGGCCACUAGCAGCUCUGUAAUAUGCAAAUAAAGUAACUCUGUAAUUACCAAUAAAAUGCUUACUGAAG